AGAAUGACUCUCGGCAACGGAUAUCUAGGCUCUUGCAUCGAUGAAGAACGUAGCGAAAUGCGAUACUUGGUGUGAAUUGCAGAAUCCCGUGAACCAUCGAGUCUUUGAACGCAAGUUGCGCCUGAGGCCAGUAGGCUGAGGGCACGUCUGCCUGGGUGUCACGU
rnacentral:rRNA from 1 species